rnacentral:rRNA from 1 species
UGCAGUCGAGCGGUAGAGAGAAGCUUGCUUCUCUUGAGAGCGGCGGACGGGUGAGUAAUGCCUAGGAAUCUGCCUGGUAGUGGGGGAUAACGUUCGGAAACGGACGCUAAUACCGCAUACGUCCUACGGGAGAAAGCAGGGGACCUUCGGGCCUUGCGCUAUCAGAUGAGCCUAGGUCGGAUUAGCUAGUUGGUGGGGUAAUGGCUCACCAAGGCGACGAUCCGUAACUGGUCUGAGAGGAUGAUCAGUCACACUGGAACUGAGACACGGUCCAGACUCCUACGGGAGGCAGCAGUGGGGAAUAUUGGACAAUGGGCGAAAGCCUGAUCCAGCCAUGCCGCGUGUGUGAAGAAGGUCUUCGGAUUGUAAAGCACUUUAAGUUGGGAGGAAGGGUUGUAGAUUAAUACUCUGCAAUUUUGACGUUACCGACAGAAUAAGCACCGGCUAACUCUGUGCCAGCAGCCGCGGUAAUACAGAGGGUGCAAGCGUUAAUCGGAAUUACUGGGCGUAAAGCGCGCGUAGGUGGUUUGUUAAGUUGGAUGUGAAAUCCCCGGGCUCAACCUGGGAACUGCAUUCAAAACUGACUGACUAGAGUAUGGUAGAGGGUGGUGGAAUUUCCUGUGUAGCGGUGAAAUGCGUAGAUAUAGGAAGGAACACCAGUGGCGAAGGCGACCACCUGGACUAAUACUGACACUGAGGUGCGAAAGCGUGGGGAGCAAACAGGAUUAGAUACCCUGGUAGUC